rnacentral:rRNA from 1 species
GGCGAACCCACCAGGGAAACCAGAAGUACUCAAAGACAAGGUGAAUAAUUUAGCAAGGCUGUAACCCCCAGAGAUUCCCAGCCCGCCCUCAAAUUUUGUGCGUUAAGAGAUGUUCUUCUCUCGCUGUUGUUCCUGCGGAGGGAUCAUUACACAAAUAUGAAGGCGGGCUGGAAUCUCUCGGGGUUACAGCCUUGCUGAAUUAUUCACCCUUGUCUUUUGCGUACUUCUUGUUUCCUUGGUGGGUUCGCCCACCACUAGGACAAACAUAAACCUUUUGUAAUUGCAAUCAGCGUCAGUAACAAAUUAAUAAUUACAACUUUCAACAACGGAUCUCUUGGUUCUGGCAUCGAUGAAGAACGCAGCGAAAUGCGAUAAGUAGUGUGAAUUGCAGAAUUCAGUGAAUCAUCGAAUCUUUGAACGCACAUUGCGCCCUUUGGUAUUCCAAAGGGCAUGCCUGUUCGAGCGUCAUUUGUACCCUCAAGCUUUGCUUGGUGUUGGGCGUCUUGUCUCUAGCUUUGCUGGAGACUCGCCUUAAAGUAAUUGGCAGCCGGCCUACUGGUUUCGGAGCGCAGCACAAGUCGCACUCUCUAUCAGCAAAGGUCUAGCAUCCAUUAAGCCUUUUUUUCAACUUUUGACCUCGGAUCAGGUAGGGAUACCCGCUGAACUUAAGCAUA